AAAUUGAAGAGUUUGAUCAUGGCUCAGAUUGAACGCUGGCGGCAGGCCUAACACAUGCAAGUCGAACGGUAACAGGAAGCAGCUUGCUGCUUUGCUGACGAGUGGCGGACGGGUGAGUAAUGUCUGGGAAACUGCCUGAUGGAGGGGGAUAACUACUGGAAACGGUGGCUAAUACCGCAUAACGUCGCAAGACCAAAGAGGGGGACCUUCGGGCCUCUUGCCAUCAGAUGUGCCCAGAUGGGAUUAGCUAGUUGGUGAGGUAACGGCUCACCAAGGCGACGAUCCCUAGCUGGUCUGAGAGGAUGACCAGCCACACUGGAACUGAGACACGGUCCAGACUCCUACGGGAGGCAGCAGUGGGGAAUAUUGCACAAUGGGCGCAAGCCUGAUGCAGCCAUGCCGCGUGUAUGA
rnacentral:rRNA from 3 species